AGGAAGCAUCCGUAAUGGUCGCGGGUUGAGCUGUAAACUCAAUAGCUAUAAGCUAGAAAAGGUUCGAUUCCUUUGCUUCCUA
rnacentral:tRNA from 2 species